UGUUUAUAUAGGUUGAUGGAAGAUCUGUGAGGUCUUAAAUACGAUGGUGUGAAGAGAGACAGACAGACAGAUAGAGACAAGGAGAGGUAUUACUGUUGCACGCUGUGAAGUAAGAAGAGAAAAAGGACAGAGGGACACAGAGAAAGUGGCAGAGAGAGAGAGAAGGGGGAAAGAUAUUAUUGUGAUAUACUGUGAAGAUAGAUAGAGAGUUUUCAGACAGAGAGAGAUAGAGUGACAGACAGACAAGGAGAAAGAGUGACAGACAGACAAGGAGAAAGAGAGACAGACAGAGAUAAAUCGAGACAGACAGAGGAGAUACUAUUAUUGGGUGAAGAAAAUAGUUGUGGAAUUUCCAACAGUUUAUUCAGAGAAUUGGUUCCAACCAUUCCAAGAGAAUUAAGAAAUGCAUGUGUUCAACGGAAUAUUCCUCUGGCUCUUGCUCGCUUCUUCCCUGUUAAUUUACUGUCAUAGUUACGUAUUUAUUGUGACUGUACCAAAGUUAUCUCCAAGACGUAAAGAACCGCCCACUUGUACCCUGUAUUUGAAGCAAUGUCACCCAGAUCAAGAUACGUGCUGCCCUGGACUCCAAUGCACCAAUAUUCUCUACAGCUAUUGUCUCUACCCCUUCGAGACCUGCUACUGCAUGACCAAAUCUUACUACUACACGGAAAAUAAAUAAUACUGCCAUUCUCUCAUUUCAACCAAUCCGUUCCGUUUCCAAUGCCAAGGAUCAAAGCACCUUCCUUCUUCUUCUUCUUUCUUGCUUCUCCAUGUGAAGCCCAGACUCUUCCCACCGAGUGUCAUUCCUGUCUGACAUUUCUAGAAAGUCUGAUAAAUAAUGUUUUAAGUUUUGAAAACAAAUAAAAUGGCUUCGGUUAUCGUUAUUGCAGCAA